UGGCCACAUCACAUUGAAACACUGGUUCUCAUACAAUCACUGAAGUGAGGCAACAUUGGGCCUGGUCAGUAACUAGAUGGGUGGCAGUUUGGGAAUACCAGGUGCUGUAAG